rnacentral:rRNA from 1 species
AACGAACGCUGGCGGCGCGCUUAACACAUGCAAGUCGAACGAGAAGCUGUAGCAAUACAGUUGUAAAGUGGCAAACGGGUGAGUAAUGCGUGGGUAAUCUACCCUAGGGUGGGGAAUAACUCCUCGAAAGGGGAGCUAAUGCCGACAUGUGCGCCAUUCUCGCAAGGGAGUGAUGGAAAGCCGUACCGUGGGUGCGGCGCCCAAGGAUGAGCUCACGUCCUANCAGCUUGUGGCGGGU